rnacentral:rRNA from 7 species
UUGACCUCGGAUCAGGUAGGAAUACCCGCUGAACUUAAGCAUAUCAAUAAGCGGAGGAAAAGAAACCAACAGGGAUUGCCCCAGUAACGGCGAGUGAAGCGGCAACAGCUCAAAUUUGAAAU